rnacentral:rRNA from 1 species
GACAGAGGCCUCGAGCGUUAGGCGGAAUCACUGGGCUUAAAGCGUGCGUAGGCGGGCCCGUAAGUGUCUUGUGAAAUCCCCCGGCUCAACCGGGGAACGGCUGGGCAUACUGCGGGUCUGGGCCGACUAGGGGCAGCCGGAACAAGCGGUGGAGCGGUGAAAUGCGUAGAUAUCGCUUGGAACGCCGAAGGUGAAAACAGGCUGACUGGG